AAAAGUGUUUUCCGCUUCGGACCAUGCCUAAGUCCCUUGGAAAAGGGCAUCAUAGAGGGUGAUAAUCCCGUACAUGGCAUGGAGCGCCCGAAGCUUUGUGAUACGCUUUCUAAGAGUCGAGUUGUUUGGGAAUGCAGCUCAAAAUGGGUGGUAAAUGCCAUCUAAGGCUAAAUAUUGGGGAGAGACCGAUAGCGAACAAGUACAGUGAUGGAAAGAUGAAAAGAACUUUGAAAAGAGAGUUAAACAGUACGUGAAAUUGCCAAAAGGGAAGGGUAGGAGGUCAGAGAUGCGGCCUGGGAUUCAGCCUUGCUUUUGCUUGGUGUUUUUCCCAGAUUGCAGGCCAACGUCGGUUUUGGGCACUGGAGAAGGGUAGGAGGAACGUGGCACCUCUCGGGGUGUGUUAUAGCCUCCUACUGGAUACAGCGACCGAGACCGAGGACAGCAGCGUACUCGCAAGAGCGGGCCUUCGGGCACCUUUACGCUUAGGGCGUUGGCAUAAUGGCCCUCUACCACCCGUCUUG
rnacentral:rRNA from 2 species